CGCGAAGGAAAAAACCACCGCGCUCGACGUGCAGGCCCCGCACCCGUCCGCUUUCUCCUCCAGCGAAUCGAGCGGGCAGCGAGCGACAGCAAAAGGAACGCUCCCCACGCGCAUGAACCCUAGCCGCCGCUCUCCUCUCCCAUGACCCGCAACCACCACCGCUCCUCUCUCCUCUGCCUCGACUCCCAACCAUCCAACCCAAACUCCGGCGGCCUCCUAUCCCUCCAGCGCCGCCGCUCCAGCCACACCUUCCUUCCUCUCCAAAGGAAGGGAAGGGAAGUGAAGGGGAGGGGAGGCCCCAGAUCGAGCGGAGCGACGCCCAGAUCCGCAGCGGCACCGGCACCAGCGCGCCGUCGUCCACCUGGUCCUCGAGGAAGGCCAUGGAUGGGGGCAGAACCCUAGCCCCACACCCAUCCAUCACGGCGGUGGCCUUCUCUCGGUGGGGUGGGGAGCGAAGUUUUCUGAUGUGGUGGCCCUCGACGCCUGCGACGGGCUGCAGCACCUUGGCUUCAAAGGUAGCCAUCACAAUGGAAACAGAAGGAUGAGCACCAUGGCGGGCGUGCAGGUGCAGGCCAUCGCCAUCGCCAAGUCCCCUAGAUUGACAAGCGGACGGCCGGAUCCAAGACCAAGCACCCCGGUGGGCUUCCUGCUCAGGCUCCUCAACGCCACGACGGCUGCGGGAUCCACGACCAUGGCUGCACGAGCGCCCAGAUGCAGGGCGGUUCCGAACCCAAAGCGCAGUUUGCAGGCAGUACGAGGGCAGUUCAUGAAUAUACUUGUGCGCUUUUACUCUCAGGAAUUCAACAUAUUGAACCUUCAAGAUGGCUUGAAAUGGGCCUGGACAAUGUUUUGUUGACCAGCAAGGUUAUGUUUCCUCUGAUUGGCUUGCUUGAUUAGGUCUUUGUACAUAUUCCAUGAACUCCUGCGUUUGUGCCGUCAGGUUGGCUGUCUAUAAUUUUUGGGGUUCGCCUGACAUACGGUCGUCAUCGCCUUGCCGUGGCUCCACCAAGCGAUCUUUCCUCGCCAAUGCAGUCAGCUGGGCGAUACUGAUGGAUUGAUUUGAAUUUGGAUGAUUCUAUUGAGUCGGUGUGCAACAAUGCAAAUCAGAUUCAUCAUCUACAAGAGUCGGUGUCCAACCAUGUCCUCCUAUAGAGCUCAUGUUCCUAUGCUUGCGUAGAAGAUUAUGAUAUGGAAGUACUCUUGACUUUCCAUGAUUUUGGUACUGGAUUAUUGGUCACACAUAUGAGAGUUGUGAACCGGGGACGAUCAUGUAUUUCAUAAGCGAGCAAGGGUCCUGGGUACCUGCAUGAUUAAGGAAGAAAUUGGUUAUUACUAAAUGUGCUAUUGCAUAUCAAAGGUACAUAUUGAAGGAUGUUCUGAGGCUAGCACCUGGUUUAGAAGUUUUGCAAUUCACAGCAAUACCUCAUAAUUUUGAUUUGAUGUCCAGAAUGUCAAUUGAAGAAUGAGCCUACAAACUACAUUGUAGUUUGUAAUAUAUCCUUAUAUAUGGUGCUUGUGUUUUUUUUUUCAAUUAUAAGUUUACAUUUAUGGGUAUUACAAAGUCCCCCUUUCUUUUUCCACAAGGGGCAGUAGCUGUGCCAUUCGAUUCGAAGGACAAAGAGUUGAUCACAACGGGGUAGCAUUCAGGAUAUAUACACAAGAGUAUAGAACCAAAUUAUAUGAUGUAAUUGACCACUAUUUCUAUUAACUUUUCUUGUACACAAUGUUACAAGUUCAUGUAUUAGGUACAUUUUAUUGUUUACUCUCUUUUUUAAUGCAAGUUUACAG
rnacentral:rRNA from 1 species